rnacentral:lncRNA from 1 species
CAGUGAACAUUUAUGAUCAAGCAAAGUGCCCCAGAAUAAAGCUAUCUGAUUAUUUUUCUCUCUAUUUUCUCUACCAUCUUCUACCUGCCAGAUUCUGCAUCCUGGCGAAAAUGAGCCUCCUCGCAUAACAGGUAUGAUCAUGAACUCAAUAAACUAUUUCUCUUUAACACAAAAUUUUACUGUCACCAUGCUUAGUUUUCAUAUCUUCUUGUUACUUACGACCAGGGGUUAACCAAGUCCCUCGCCAUGACAAUUCUUUCAGAAGUUGGUGAUAGGACAUUCUGUGUUGCUUCUGUAAGUAUACCAUUCACCUGUCACUUUUAGUAAAUGAUAACUCC